UCCUCUCAACAGAUCGACCGAGGCACAGACCCCAUAGAACUCGGGGCAGCGCGGCGCGGCAGAUGACCGAGGAACGCAGAGGUACCGGCGGAGGAGGCGGCGGCAGUGUUGGCAGCGGCGGGAAUGGUGGCGGCAGCAGCAGUCAGGGGCCGCAGGACUCCACCAACACAAGCGACCCACCCAGGACAGCCUAAGCCUUAUGGGGCUGGUGCGGCCUCGGGGGGGACACGGACGGCGGCGGAGCAGGGGCGGGGGAGGGCGAGGAGCGGGUGGAGGAGUCAUCCAGCUUGGGGGCGGCUCGAUCGCUGCGCCAGAUGGUGAGUGACGACAGCGCCUCCUCCUCAAGCCUAGACUCGUCCUCCUCAGCGACCUCUGGGGCUAGCCGAGCCUCGGAACGCAACACCCGACUCUCGCUCCUGUGGACGUCUCGGCUCCAUCGUCUGGGGCAAGAUUCCGACGGGGUGGCGACCGAUGCGACUCCUAACCCAUGGGAGCCCCGACCUGACCCCGCCCCCAGGCCCCCAGGGUGAUGACGAACGUGGGGGUAAUGAAGAGGAGGCUAGUACUGGGGUGUCAACGUCCACCCCGUCGCCGCUAUCCGGGGCACGGGGCGAACGGUCAAGCCUCCAUUGGGGUUACUACUUCCAUCUAUCCGACCGCCCUGGGAUUCACGGCAGGCGACCAGGGCGGGUCAACCGGGGCAGAGAGAGAGCGGGGCCGCCGGAUGAUGCCCCGAGUCAGGCGAACGGAGCGGGGGCGGGGCCGGGGGUGGAGUCCAGGGAUGCUGUUUAUGAUCCGAGUGAUGCGACACAGCCCCCUCUGCCCCCCGGUCCUCCUCCUCUUCCACCUCUCCCUCCAGCCCCUCCACUGUCCCCUGUACCUCUUCUCCCCUCGCCUCCACUUCCUCCUCUCCCGCCUCUUCCGCCCUAUGAUCCACCGCUGCCCCCUCCCGCUCUGCCUUCUGAUCCACCCACCGAUCCACCAUUCUCGAGACUUUCCACCCAUGCCGAGCUGCCUGAUCUCUAUCCUACGCUGCCGCCGUCACCGCUCAGCUCCCUAGCGGAUCUCUCGGCUGCUCCACAUCCACAUCCACCGUCGGAACGCGCACGCUCUCUCGCACGGCUCCUCUCCCUCCCCCCGCCCUCCACCCUUCUUCCACGUUCCUCCACCCCAUCCUCUGUCCCUCUCUCCUCGCUCCGUAAUCCCUCCCGGUCCGAUGCCCCCUCCUCUUCCUCCUCCUCCUCCACCUCCUCCUCCACCAAUCCACUCUCCUCCGACCGGCUCCGCUCUUCCAUGGCGCGGCUUCUCUCCCGCCAUCCCUGUAAUUACUUCUCCAGGUCCUCCGCCUCGCACUCCGCCUCCACCCCCUGCUACUCCAUCCGAAAUCCAUCUCAUCCGCUGUUCAACACAUCCCUUGACACCAUUUCGGAUGACGCCUCGGGAUCCAGGGCGUCGUCGUCGUCGGGGCUGCUCGGGGCGAUCCGCGGGGCCGACCUUCCCCCGGGGCCGUCUGCCAGGUCUCGCUCGGCCCUGGACUCGCAGAUUGGGGUCCGGGUCCUCAGCAGACACAUCGUUAAUAUAGAACAGAUAUGCAUUGCCCUGCUGGAGAUCAACAACCACACCAGGGAGGAACAGAUGCUUCAGCAGAUCUGCCUCAUGCUCAACGAUAUCCAGGAACAGAUCCACUCUCUGCGGCUGCCCGAGGACUCCCAGGUGGUGGAGGACCUCGCCGGGGCCUUCUCCGAGACCCUGCCCACCCCGCCCAAGUUGAUUCAGGAGGAUCAAGGAGCCAGCCAGGAGGACGGAUCACCAACUCCAUCUCCUCCACCUCCACCUCCACCUCCGCCUCCACCACCACCACCAGCAGAACCACCCAGUCCCGCAAGACCCAUCCUGGUGCUGUGGUCCAUCUAAGUGACUGCCCUGUGGAACCUGGGAAGCUCCUGAUUGGCUACGAGAGCGGUCAGCUUGUCUUGUGGGACUUCAAAGGGCGCACCGCUGAAGUUCGCUACCAUUCUGCCGAACCACUGAGGUCAGUCUCUUGGCACCACGAGGGGAAGCAGUUCAUGUGCUGCCACACGGAUGGUUCCCUCACCACCUGGACACUGAAGCAGAAUUCCAAUAGGCCUACAUCACAUGUCUUCCCUCAUGGCUGAACCGCCCUCUCACCCUCUCGGAAAAAGUGCUGUACUCUCAUCUGUCCGAUCCUUCAACCAAGAAAUCGUCCGAGGUGAGUCCCACUACCUCAAGCUCCACCCAGACCGCGUUGCAAUGCAGGACGCCACAGCACAGAUGGCCG